GACGAACGCUGGCGGCGUGCUUAACACAUGCAAGUCGAACGGAAAGGCCCUGCUUUUGUGGGGUGCUCGAGUGGCGAACGGGUGAGUAACACGUGAGUAACCUGCCCUUGACUUUGGGAUAACUUCAGGAAACUGGGGCUAAUACCGGAUAGGAGCUCCUGCUGCAUGGUGGGGGUUGGAAAGUUUCGGCGGUUGGGGAUGGACUCGCGGCUUAUCAGCUUGUUGGUGGGGUAGUGGCUUACCAAGGCUUUGACGGGUAGCCGGCCUGAGAGGGUGACCGGACACAUUGGGACUGAGAUACGGCCCAGACUCCUACGGGAGGCAGCAGUGGGGAAUAUUGCACAAUGGGCGGAAGCCUGAUGCAGCAACGUCGCGUGCGGGAUGACGGCCUUCGGGUUGUAAACCGCUUUCGCCUGUGACGAAGCGUGAGUGACGGUAAUGGGUAAAGAAGCACCGGCUAACUACGUG
rnacentral:rRNA from 1 species